GACGUAGGGCGCGAGCGUUGUCCGGAUUUAUUGGGCGUAAAGAGCUCGUAGGCGGCUUGUCGCGUCGGAUGUGAAAUUUUAGGGCUCAACCCUGACAUUGCACUCCGAUACGGGCAGGCUAGAGUUCGGUAGGGGAGACUGGGAAUUCCUGGUGUAGCGGUGAAAUGCGCAGAUAUCAGGAGGAACACCGGUGGCGAAGGCGGGUCUCUGGGCCGAUACUGACGCUGAGGAGCGAAAGCGUGGGGAGCGAACAGG
rnacentral:rRNA from 1 species